rnacentral:rRNA from 1 species
CACACCAUGGGAGUCGUUUGCUCCAGAAGUGCCUGAGCCAACCCAGUCGCAAGACUGAGAGGCAGGGUCCCAAGGAGUGAACGGUAACUGGGGUG